GCGGACAUGGUGCAUGGUGCACUCCUCUCCAUCCGUUCAGGAACAACGCAGUUGAAGGAGGUGUCGGGGUUCGACUCCCCGUGUCCGCA